AGCUCCACCUCCGCAAGGCUGUCUGGGUUCAGAUGAUCCUCUGUGGGGGGGGUUGAAGGUGGAGCAGCAUGAAGAAGCUUGGACUCACAGACCACACCCCCCAUGGCUAAAAGAGGAGACGAGAGGAGCAGGAGCAUCUUCAGUGGAUCUGACCUCCGGAGCUGCAGAGUCAUCAAAGAUGGCCAGGAUGGAGCGAUCCACACCGGAGGAGGUGUCUGCAGCCUCCACAUCUCCUCCACCCAGGACCGCCUGCACACAUGAAGGGAGGAGCGGUCAGCUGUCUGAGCCCGAGCAUUCAUAAGCAAACAUCAGCGUGCUCCACGCUCAUCAAGAUAGAAAUACGUCAACUUCAGAGGUUUGACAAAAGGAUAAAUAAAAUAACUUAGUUUAAUCUGA